rnacentral:rRNA from 1 species
GUCUACGACCAUGCCACUCUGAACAAGCCCAAUGUCUGAUCUUGGAAGCUAAGCAGGGUCAGACCUGGUUAGUACUUGGACGGGAGACCACCUAGGAAGACCAGGUGCUGUAGGCA